GAUGAACGCUGGCGGCGUGCCUAAUACAUGCAAGUCGAGCGAAUGGAUUAAGAGCUUGCUCUUAUGAAGUUAGCGGCGGACGGGUGAGUAACACGUGGGUAACCUGCCCAUAAGACUGGGAUAACUCCGGGAAACCGGGGCUAAUACCGGAUAACAUUUUGAACCGCAUGGUUCGAAAUUGAAAGGCGGCUUCGGCUGUCACUUAUGGAUGGACCCGCGUCGCAUUAGCUAGUUGGUGAGGUAACGGCUCACCAAGGCAACGAUGCGUAGCCGACCUGAGAGGGUGGUCGGCCACACGGGGACUGAGACACGGCCCAGACUCCUACGGGAGGCAGCAGUAGGGAAUCUUCCGCAAUGGACGAAAGUCUGACGGAGCAACACCGCGUGAGUGAUGAAGGCUUUCGGGUCGUAAAACUCUGUUGUUAGGGAAGAACAAGUGCUAGUCGAAUAAGCUGGCACCUUGACGGUACCUAACCAGAAAGCCACGGCUAACUACGUGCCAGCAGCCGCCGUAA
rnacentral:rRNA from 1 species